UUCUCAUUUUUCAAUUAUUUCUCUCACGUUAUCAGCACGAGAAUUCUCCACUGGGAUUAACCAGCAAUCCUGCAACCACACAACGGAUUCAUCAACAUCUUUAGAUUCCGAACAUCUUCGUUCCUCAUAAUCCGGUGGUAUUUUAUGUUUUGAACUAUCGUUAUGCCUCUAACUCUAUCCGGGAGGAAACUGGCGACAAACUCGAAAGAUUAGGGAGCAAACUGGCGACAAACUCGAAAGAUCAGGGAGGAAAAUGGCUAUUUUUAAACUAUUGGAGCAAAACCGUUAAAAUGACCAAACCAUAGGGAGCAAAACGGAAGUUUACUCAAAAAGUUAUUUGUAAAUGGCCUAUAUUGGAAUUGGUAUGUCUAAUUACAAUUUAAAAAAAAAGUAACAUAUGUAUAUGUAUCGGAAUUU
rnacentral:lncRNA from 1 species